rnacentral:rRNA from 1 species
AUUGAACGCUGGCGGCAGGCCUAACACAUGCAAGUCGAACGAGUGGCAGCCGGGUGAGUCAUGUCUGGGAAACUGCCUGCAGGAGGGGGAUAACUAAUGGAAACGGUAGCUAAUACCGCAUACCAUCAGAUUGACCCAGAGGGGGUUAGCUUGUUGGUGGGGUAACGGCUCACCAAGGCUACGAUCCCUAGCUGGGCUGAGAGGAUGACCAGCCAAACUGGAACUGAGACACGGUCCAGACUCCUACGGGAGGCAGCAGUGGGGAAUAUUGCACAAUGGGCGCAAGCCUGAUGCAGCCAUGCCGCGUGUAUGAAGAAGGCCUUAGGGUUGUAAAGUACUUUCAGCGGGGAGGCGUUACCCGCAGAAGAAGCCCCGGCUAACUCCGUGCCAGCAGCCGCGGGAAUUC